UGAGGAAUUUUGGACAAUGGGGGAAACCCUGAUCCAGCGACGCCGCGUGGAGGACGAAGGUCUUCGGAUUGUAAACUCCUUUUGUCCGGGAAUAAUAAAUCUGUAGAAAUACGGAGAUUGAAUGUACCGGGCGAAUAAGCCACGGCUAACUUCGUGCCAGCAGCCGCGGUAAUACGAAGGUGGCAAGCGUUACUCGGAAUUACUAGGCGUAAAGCGCAGGUAGGUGGUUGUGUAAGUCUGCUGUGAAAGCUCCCGGCUUAACUGGGAGAGGUCAGCGGAUACUGCAUAGCUAGAGUGUGGGAGAGGGUACUGGAAUUCCCGGUGUAGCGGUGAAAUGCGCAGAGAUCGGGAGGAACACCAAAGGCGAAAGCAGGUACCUGGACCAUUACUGACACUAAGCUGCGAAAGCUAGGGGAGCAAACA
rnacentral:rRNA from 1 species